GGACCAAGGAGUCUAGCAUGUGCGCGAGUCAUUGGGACAUGACUAAACCUAAAGGCGCAAUGAAAGUGAAAGUCCGCCUUGCGCGGACUUAGGGAGGAUGGGCGGUCGUUACGGCUGCCGCCCCGCACUCCCGGGGCGUCUCGUUCUCAUUGCGAGAAGAGGCGCACCAAGAGCGUACACGCUGGGACCCGAAAGAUGGUGAACUAUGCCUGGUCAGGACGAAGUCAGGGGAAACCCUGAUGGAGGUCCGUAGCGAUUCUGACGUGCAAAUCGAUCGUCGGAACUGGGUAUAGGGGCGAAAGACUAAUCGAACCAUCUAGUAGCUGGUUCCCUCCGAAGUUUCCCUCAGGAUAGCUGGCGCUCGUUGCGUACGAGUUUCAUCCGGUAAAGCGAAUGAUUAGAGGCAUUGGGGUCGAAACGGCCUCAACCUAUUCUCAAACUUUAAAUGGGUGAGAUCUCCGGCUUGCUCGAACUCAUUUUUAAAAUGAAGCCGCGAGACUCGAAUCAGAGUGCCAAGUGGGCCAUUUUUGGUAAGCAGAACUGGCGCUGUGGGAUGAACCAAACGCCGAGUUAAAGCGCCUAAAUCGACGCUUAUGGGAUACCAUGAAAGGCGUUGGUAACUUAAGACAUCAGGACGGUGGCCAUGGAAGUCGGAAU
rnacentral:rRNA from 1 species